GCUCCGAGUUGUAAUUUGUAGAAGAUGCUUUGGGUGCGGCCCCGGUCUAAGUUCCUUGGAACAGGACGUCAUAGAGGGUGAGAAUCCCGUAUGUGAUCGGUGGCUUGCGCCCGUGUAAAGCUCUUUCGACGAGUCGGGUUGUUUGGGAAUGCAGCUCUAAAUGGGUGGUAAAUUUCAUCUAAAGCUAAAUAUUGGCCAGAGACCGAUAGCGCACAAGUAGAGUGAUCGAAAGAUGAAAAGCACUUUGGAAAGAGAGUUAAACAGUACGUGAAAUUGUUGAAAGGGAAGCGCUUGCAACCAGACUUGCGCGGGGUUGAUCAUCCGGGGUUCUCCCCGGUGCACUCGGCCUCGCUCAGGCCAGCAUCGGUUUCGGUGGUUGGAUAAAGGCCUUGGGAAUGUGGCUCCUUUCGGGGAGUGUUAUAGCCCUCGGUGCAAUGCAGCCUACUGGGACCGAGGACCGCGCUUCGGCUAGGAUGCUGGCGUAAUGGUUGUAAGCGACCCGUCUUGAAACACGGACCAAGGAGUCUAACAUCUAUGCGAGUGUUUGGGUGUCAAACCCAUACGCGUAAUGAAAGUGAACGGAGGUGAGAACCCUUAAGGGUGCAUCAUCGACCGAUCCUGAUGUCUUCGGAUGGAUUUGAGUAAGAGCAUAGCUGUUGGGACCCGAAAGAUGGUGAACUAUGCCUGAAUAGGGUGAAGCCAGAGGAAACUCUGGUGGAGGCUCGCAGCGGUUCUGACGUGCA
rnacentral:rRNA from 1 species